rnacentral:lncRNA from 13 species
CCCUGGACCAGAAGAACAAGUAUCACAUGAUGAGGAAACUGAAGCACGCUGAGUAAAAAUGUCUUGUCCAAGUGCCAUCAUGUGUAUAAAAACAGAACGGAGGAUGAUGACACCCCUCGAUAUGGAUCUCAAGAGGCCGAUCCUUUAUUGCUGUCAUUGGAAUGACAGCCGGAGGAGGAAAGUUCAGCCGAAGGCUGAGGCUGUGCAGGAAGGCAAGUUUGAUGGAAGAGAUGCAGGUAGGGGAUGCAUCCUGAAGAAGGUACGGCUUAGAUUUGCAAAUAGAAGGAGAACCUCUGAGGCAAGGGCAUUACAUAAUUAGAAAGAGAGUGACAUCUUGGUUUGUUGCUUAAAUAGCAACUCUAUGGCAAAGUGAAACGCAUUUGACACAAAUGUGGUGCUCCUUGAAUGCUUGAUGAAUAAAUGAGCACAUGAGGGAGGGAAUCA